ensembl:lncRNA
GGUUGCAUUAGUGUGACCUCACUAAUGGAAACAAGAGGAAGAAGAGAGGGUGAGGAGAUCUGAAGUAGCAACAUGAAAAGCUGUAGAUGUGAAUAGACUUAUUUUUGAUACUUCAGGAACACUUUUGGAAAAGUAAGUUUUGUAACAAACAGGAGUACCCUUACUCCAAAAUCUGAAAGCACAAGAAACUGGAACCAAAAAUACUUCUAAACUGAAUCAAACAACACCUAGCUGGAUCAUGUCCUCCUUUACUGUUUCAUCAUGUUUGCCAUUUGCUGGAGCUUGACACAGCUGAUGUGGUGGGAGAAGGCUGUUGAGAGCACAGGUGUCAG